rnacentral:rRNA from 1 species
UUCGUAGGCGGUGUGGCAAGUCGGGAGUGAAAUCUCUGGGCUUAACUCAGAGGCUGCUUCCGAAACUGCCGUGCUAGAGUGCGGGAGAGGCGAGUGGAAUUGCAGGUGUAGCGGUGAAAUGCGUAGAUAUCUGCAGGAACACCCGUGGCGAAGGCGGCUCGCUGGACCGCAACUGACGCUGAGGAACGAAAGCUAGGGGAGCAAACA